CGCCAGGCUACCUCGACGGGGAGAAAAGCGGGAACCUUCGCCCGCCUGCCUGGUGCCCGUGAAUGAAGG
rnacentral:sRNA from 1 species